rnacentral:rRNA from 1 species
UACGUAGGCAGCGAGCGUUGUUCGGAUUUACUGGGCGUAAAGGGCGCGUAGGCGGUCAGCACAAGUCAGUUGUGAAAUCUCCGGGCUUAACUCGGAAAGGUCAACUGAUACUGUGCGACUAGAGUGCAGAAGGGGCAACUGGAAUUCUCGGUGUAGCGGUGAAAUGCGUAGAUAUCGAGAGGAACACCUGCGGCGAAGGCGGGUUGCUGGGCUGACACUGACGCUGAUGCGCGAAAGCCAGGGGAGCGAACGGG